GCCCUAAUCUCACGCCGACCACUCCAUUUCCCUUCCUCGCUCUUGCUCUUUGUCGCCGAGAUCUCAUUGCCGCCCCUCACUCUCCUUAUUCUCAUCCGCCACCUCCUCUUUUCCUCCUCUUGUGUCUCUGCUCGACGCUGUGGGCCAUCACAGUGACACCCGACCGGCGAUACCACAGCCGUCAUCAUCGUGAGGAGUCGACGAUGCAGACCCUUCUAUCGCGUUGCCUCAUCGUUCCUCUCCUGGUCGGAGUCAUCUGGAACUUGUCGGAGCUUGAGCGAGGAGUCGUGGAUCUUCGAUUGCGUGCGGCCGACCUUCUCCUCCUUUGAGGAUGAUCCCGAUCAGGAGUCAGCCGGCGCGUUGGCUACCCACAGGUUCCGCCGAGUCGAGCCCUAAUUCGAGUCUACCUCACCGCAUUAGCACACCAGGUCAGUCGUCGUGCUUCCGACCAAGAGAAGGUGAUCCGAGCCCUAGUUGACGUUUCCCUGUCGGUGAUCUUCUUCCUCCCUCGUCAUAACCGGAGCAAGUAGGUCGUCGUGCCCUAACAACAAAGCUAUCUUCCCUUGGGUUGUGCCCUAAGUGAAGAUCCAUUGCCAGCAUCUCACAAAUCAGUCGAUCCUUCUUCUCCCGCGACAUUGUUUUGAGCAGAAGGCUUACUGUGUGACCUCCCAGUUGUUGCAACCCACUUUGGUCGUUGUUUCGGUUGCUGAGCCACUGUUGUCGACUCUCCAUUGCCUGUCGAUCUACUGUUGAAGCCAUGAUCGGUCACCGAGGAAGAGGAGCCCCACUUCCUCAAGAUUGAUUCGAGUUCUUCACCGAGCGGUUGGAAUUCUGAACUUGGAGACAACAAUCUCAUCUUCGCUGGUAGAGAGUUAUACCAGCUAUAAGUCAUUGGCGGAGCCAUCAAUUCCGGACUUGGAUUUUGGGACAAGUGUCUCGACAUGGGAACACUGGACACUGUCUACGUAUAAAGCCGGGUAGCAGGUAAAGGAUCUAUGGAGUCGCCUGGAGAUCCUGUCAGCCAGUUCCACGUCAC